AUACAGAAUUCUUUUAUUUAACUUAAACCAUGUAGUACUUUACUAGAAAAAAGCAGAGUAAGAGAAACUAACGUUGCCUUAGCUUCAGCCAUUCAAAAUAGACAGUUUCUUUUUUCCAUAAUGUAAAGAAUCCAGAGUAUAUCGGAAUAACAGGAAUAAAUUCUUACAACAGAAUAUACAAAAACAUUUUGAAAUUUUUUUCAUCUACUGAUUUUUUAUAUAAACAGGUUUUUUUUAGGAAUAAUUUAUACACAGAAAGUCAUUUUAUGUAACAAAUUGGCCAUGUUAUUACCUUUUUUUUUUUUUACUUUUUUAAAAAAACUUUUUUUAAACAAGAAAACUCAGAAAAUGCAUUAUUUGCGGUGCAUCCAUUCCAUCCCGCCUUCUGGUUUGAUUUUUUUAUCCCAGAUAAAGGGAUACCCAGAGGUAGACAAACUCUGGCAAACCUCUCACCUCAACCUCACUGGCUUAGAAAGCAGACAGGUGUUUUCGCCAGGCGUCUCUUCCACCUGUGGAUGUGUGUGUGUAAUGCCAAACAUCCAAAUGAAAAGUUGAAAACAACCCAAAUAGUUUCCGGGUCUUUCUCCCAUGUAGUGCAAAAACCCAGGUGUUUCCCACAACAGAGAUACUGUGGAGUUGGGAGACAUGGCCAACAAUCCACUGGAGUUAGAGGAAGUGGAGUCAAACUUUAGAACAAAUUUUUGUGUAUGCUGUAGUAUUAAAAAGAAUUGUUUUCUGUAUUGGAGAUAUGUUAUCUUCGGGAUUCUGCCUUCAAAAAGCAUUAAUCAUGAUACGAGGCAUGUAAGCAAAUGGCCUGUGUGCCCCAGAGCUGUCAUCUUUUAUGUGAUCACUGUGUAUGCUGUAAUCAUCAUGAAAACCAUUGGCUGUGCAGUCAAGUCUUCCCAUGUCCAUGGCACUGCGUGACAAUGACGGCAGCCAGACCAACCAAACCAGAUGCUGAACGGUGCCAUGCACUGCUGGGCUCCAACACCUCUGCUGUUUCCAUGGCCAAUGAGGUUCUUUCCAUCUGUUAAAGUAGCUACACUCCAAAGGGAAAUGACCAGUAAAAAAUGAUCCCCUUCCCAACCAGAAGGUUCUGGAAGACCAAGAUACUGAAGAUACAGAACUACUUUUUAAAUCAUCAUUCCUUUGUUAUAAACUAGGGCACAAAGCAUGGGGGGAAAAGAGGGUGAACCACGGCUGGGGUCAGGGAAAAAUCCUUUUUUGGCAUAUUGUAAAGCUAGCUAGUAAACAGGUGUCCUAAAAAAAAAAUGGAUCACAAACACAUUUGCACACACAGAGAAAAAAAGUGUCUUUAAAUUAUUUUCGGCAAUUAUAAACUACAAACAUUUUAUAAAAUUAUUCUAUGUUCUUACAAAAAUGCAAUGAAACAUUUAAUUAGUUCUUGUAAACCAGAUCUUCGUCAACUGACUACCCGUAAUCUACUGGACUUAAGAGCCCUAUUGAAAAUGCUAAUGAGUGACUAGUUAAAACAAUGUUGACCAGAAAGAUGCGGACACACACACGUGGACAUACAAAUGAGUGAUUAUGUUGUUGCAGAAACAAAAUAAAACCCUAAAGUCAUGCCCCAGAACUGACAACUGACGAGUGCGAUGUAGUUCGUGUUCUUGAACAAUUCGCCUUAACUCCAAGAUCAGUUUCCAGAGUAGGAUGUUAGGUUUCUUUGUUGAAACCAAAUGCCCAUGGAUGACUGCUGAGCCUUGAUGUGGUCUGAUAGCUUCAGAAACCAACAAGUUCAAAACAUUGCCCACAUUUCUUCCAAGCCCUGCACCCAGCUGCUCGUAACUCUUCUCUGUGCCAGGAUCCCUGUGACAAUGGUUCCGUACCUACCACCUGGUCAUUCCACCAUCAAGGAGCGCUUACUUCUCCAAAUGACGCAACCAGUCAUCUAAGAUGAAGGCCAAAAAUGAAACCCUCUGACCUGUCCAAGGUCUGUAUCUUCAGCAUCUCUGGCAACAGAGGUUCAGUCUAAAUAACAUCCUCUCUUUAAGUUCUCAUUUGUACCAACAGCUACUUCAGAGUGAAGAAAGUGUCUUUCAUCACUGGUUCUUAAGGAGUGGAUCUCUGGUCCACAUCUCCCAAUGCUGCUUAGCCCAGGAAAUGAAAAGACAGCUGACAACACAGAGUAACAUUAACGAAAAGAACAAACCCCAAACUUUAAAUGCAUAACUGGGACUGCUGGAAUGGGCCAAGGCAUACCAUGGCGGGUCACUGUCACCAGGAGGGUGCCUAUGUUUUAGAAGGAAGUGGCCACCAACACUGUCUGGCCACCCUGGAAGGACCCAAUGUGACAGCUAAGGACACUAGACAAGCAUCCUAGCCUUCUGAUCUCAGUGUGAUCUUGCCACAGAGCCACUUACAAGCCAUUCGGUCACCAGCCUGCAGAGGUGGACUGCUGUGGGAGAGGCUUCGGUGGAACAAACUGGCCUAGAAUCUGGUGCCACAGAAUAGUUGGCUCAUAAAUCUUUUAUCCCAAAGCACCCCUAUUUGCACCGAGCAUCUUGUCAUUUGGUAGUUCCACAGUGACUGCUCUUCUAUUUUACGAAGCCACUUUUCCUACCAC
rnacentral:lncRNA from 1 species